ACAAUACGUUCAACGCGGUGCU
rnacentral:miRNA from 1 species